CAAAACCUUAUAUUCGAUAACAGGGAAAAUCCUGAAAAAAUCCUUAGUCUUUUUUUCUCAAAUUCAGCGCCCCGCGGCUCCCUUCAUGCUCAGCCAAACAAAGCCAAAACUCCUUUUAAAAAUUUCUCAGCGAUUUCUCCAAAACCCCUAGAAUAACUUGUUAGCUACCCCUCUAUUCCCCAAAAAAAAGCGCUAUAAUCCAAAAACAUUGGGAAAGCUCCUUACUCUUUUUUUCUUCAAAAACUUGCCUCUUGCUAGCUACCUCUAAAAUUCUACGCAGAGUCUAAGUUCUACCUCGCUCUUAAUCGCACCGACCCGCAACAGCUUCCAGAGCACAAUUUUUUCCUGCUUGUUCGCUCCCCGCUCUGGUCCCGAAUGCGCUGCUUACCUCGUUUGAAAAUUCCCCCCUUAGACCAACUCCGCCUCACUGCGCCCCGCUGCCAAUCACAUAACCCUUGCACCGCUCCCUUCGCACCCCGGUUAGCCAAUCCGCUCCAGGUCUGAUUUUACGAUCUCCCGCUGAUGUUAAGACUAUCUUCGAACCCCCAGAAGAGAUCUGACUUCAGACAUAUCAACAACUGGCGCCGCUCAGACUGCUUGCGAGCUCAACAGCCAUGAAACCAGGGAUCAACAACUACCUUCGCGUGCCCUAUGUGUAUAUCACUCGGUAAGUGUUAAUCUUGCUCUCUAACUACAUUUUCGCAUUUUCCUUUUUACCAUUCUGUCAAUCCUUUCAUCUUCAAAAAAGCCAUGCAAAUAGGCUCUGUUACACUUGGAAUACACUUUUUAAAACAUAUAUAAGCUCCCCUCUAACACUCAGAGCUAAAAAGUGCGUUUGUAAGUUAAACUAUAGCAGCGAUCAUGGCCUCAUCAGGUACCUCAUUUUUUCUCACUCUUGUUCAUAUAAUGUUUAUAUUUUUACUGUUUUUUCCCCGUUUGUAAAUACUCGAUGUUAUUUCUUUUCAGACUCUGAGAUAAACCUGCUCAACUCCUCUUUUUUUGAGUCUCUCGAUCGAAUUGACCCAGAUGUGUUAACCUGAUCCCUGCGAAACACCAGCUCUGCGUGGAUUUUGACCGCGAGUGACCGGAUGUUGUUUCCGGCCUGAGGUUGCCUGAAAUGCCGUGAGGCUCGUUUGAAAGAUUGCGCCCGAGACCAACUCCGCCUCCAAGGCAUGCCUACCUUUAGCUGCCACCAGUGAGAUAUCAGAGCCGGGCUCCACAUAUCCAAUCAGGAGCACGAGCAAGACAGCUUUUGCAGACUCUCCAGAAAUAUACAAGUCCUUACCAACUGCUCUGCAACCCAGUGUUUCUGGUCCCCUCACUAACAUCGCUUUUUGAGAUAUUUUUUAUGAACCACCAAAA
ensembl:lncRNA